rnacentral:lncRNA from 10 species
CGCCUCCGCUGGAGGGGUGGGACCCCGGAAGCAGGGAACCGAGGGGCUGGGCUGGGGACCGCGGGGUCCGGGCGGGGCAGAGGGGCCGCGAGGCCGGCCAGGAACGCGGGGCGGGGCCGAGGCUAGGAGCAUGGCGCGGAGGUGGGGCAGGGACCCGGGGCGGCCUGGAGCGCUGUCAGGAGGAGCUGCCUGGGCCGGGCGCGCGCCUGGCGCUAGGUGUGGGGGCGCCGUAGGUGCCGGGGUGUGAGGCUGGACGGGGCGUCCGGGAUCGGCCGUGCCGGGGGUCGGUGCUGGCGCGCGGGGCCGGCGAGGGGGCGCAGCGUGGGUCGGGGCUCGGCGCGGGAAGGGGAUGCCUCUUACCCGGCCCCGGCCUCACCUGAUCGUAGACGUCCACUACGGAACUACAGCAGGUGUUCUGCCAGCAUUCGACUUGAAUGCCUUCCCUGACAGGGCGCUCACUCCACACAGCUCUGGCCUGAGACAGGCGUCGCACAGAACUCCCUGUCCUUCCAUUUCAUUGGAACUCGGGGGACACGGCAGCUGCUUUUGUGGGAGGGCUGAUCCGAGCCGCAGCGAGGGGUGGGCUGGGCACAUGGCACAGUGAGGCUCCUCCCGCCCCCAGAGCCCCAGCCUCAGAAGGAAUCUGCCAGGUGAUGGGGCUACCCCUCUGCGCAUUCCUGUGGUGGACCCCACUCCCUCAGAUGAUGCGGACGGGAAAGAUGCGCGGAGCCGAAGAGCGCCCUCUCUGGGGGUCUGGAUUGGAGCACCCAGCACCUGAGCUGGGCCAGCCAGAAGAUGCGAAGCUCAUGGUGACCUUGGCAGGCAGACAGGUGGCAUCAGGAUGGUCUGGGCCUGCAGGGCCACCCUGUCCCUUCAGGUGGCUUCAUGGAGAGCACCAAGAAGAUUGCACCAGUGUCACCCAAGGACCUUGAUAAGGCAGACGCUUCCCCGGGAGGAAUGGGGCCCUUGCCCCCAUCUCUGGCUGACACAGAUGGUGCUGUCUCCUUUACCCACCAGUGUGAUCUCAGCAUUCAUGUGUGACCUGACCCACAUCCUUCCUGGUGCCUGAGGAUGCGAGGAGGCUGCUAUGCUGGGGCUGAGCCCUGCCAGGCGUCCUGCUUGCAUCCCUGCAGCUGGGGCUGAGGCUGUCCUGCAGGGAGGGCUGGUGGGCCCUGAGGCAGAAUCCCACUGCCACUUCAGAAAGUAGAGAAGAAGCCAGGUGUGGUGGGGCCAGUGGCCAUCUGCCGGGACUUCAGGGAGACCAGACACACAGGAAGAGGCACUUUCUCCAGACACCUCCUUUAGGGGCAGGGCACAAGGCCUGGAACAAGGCUGCCUCUGACCAGAGCAACAGAGCCUGCUCUGAGGAUGGCAGAGCCUAGAGCAGGCAAGCUGUCAAGAUUCUGGGUUGAGGGUCACAGGACAGGAGGCUGGACUCCCGCUGAUAUGAUUUGGGUUUGUGUCCCCACCCAAAUCUCAUGUUCAAUUGUAAUCCCCAGUGUUGGAGGUUGGAGGCGAUUGGAUCAUGGGGGCGGAGUUCUCAUGAAUGGGUUAGCACCAUCCCCUCGGUGCUAUUCUCCUGUUAGUGAGUGAGUGAGUUCUGGAGGGAUCUGACUGUUUGAAAGUGUGGGGCACCUCCCCCUUCUCUCUCUUGCUCCUGCCAUGUGAGACACCUGCUCCAACUCUGCCUUCCACUAUGAGUGAAAGCUCCCUGAGGCCUUCCCAGAAGCAAAUGCUGCCAUGAUUCCUGUAAAGUUUGCAGAGCCAUGAUCUAAUUAAACCUCUUUUCUUUAUAAAUUACCCAGUCUCCGGCUUUUUUUUUUUUUUUUUUGGAGAUGGAGUCUCCCUCUAUCACCCAGGCUGGAGUGCAGUGACAUGAUCUCAGCUCACUGCAACCUCCACCUUCUGGGUUUAAGCGAUUCUCUUGCCUCAGCCUCUCAAGUAGCUGGGAUUACAGGUGCACGCCACCAUGCCCAGCUAAUUUUUGUAUUUUUAGUAGAGACAGGGUUUCACCGUGUUGGCCAGGCUGAUCUCAAACUUCCUGACCCAAGUGAUCUGCCCACUUCAGCUUCCCAAAGUGCUGGGAUUACAGGCAUGAGCCACCGUGCCCGGCCAAGGCCCUUCUUUAUAGCAGUGUGAGAACAGACUACUACACUCGCAAAGGCUCCCUCUCAGAGUCCACCCUUGCUGUCUCCACACAGCAGCCGGGGGGGAUCUCUUAGAACCUGAGUCAGAAGCUCCGUGACUCCCAC